rnacentral:tRNA from 1 species
GGGUGAUUAGCUCAGUUGGUUAGAGCGCUACCUCGACACGGUAGAGGUCUCAGGUUCAACUCCUGAAUCACCCACCA